rnacentral:sRNA from 1 species
UAAUGAAAAAGAAAAAGUGGAUAUGCGCUAACAUAUCCUCUUUGUAGAACCGUUUAAGACGGUAGCAGAUUUUAAUUACUUAAAA